GUUUAUUGUACGUAAAGGUUAUUCCUUCGCAAGACUUGAUGGAUCCACUCCAACCAGCUUGCGUCAAACUCUUGUUGACGACUUCAACUCAAGUCCAAGCAAGCAGGUGUUCCUAAUAUCUACUCGAGCUGGUGGCCUUGGUUUGAACCUUGUAAGUGCAAACAGAGUCGUGAUCUUCGAUCCAAACUGGAAUCCUGCACAAGAUU
rnacentral:misc_RNA from 1 species